rnacentral:rRNA from 1 species
AGUGAACGCUGGCGGUAGGCCUAACACAUGCAAGUCGAACGGCAGCACAGUAAGAGCUUGCUCUUACGGGUGGCGAGUGGCGGACGGGUGAGGAAUACAUCGGAAUCUACUUUUUCGUGGGGGAUAACGUAGGGAAACUUACGCUAAUACCGCAUACGACCUACGGGUGGAAGCAGGGGAUCUUCGGACCUUGCGCGAUUGAAUGAGCCGAUGUCGGAUUAGCUAGUUGGCGGGGUAAAGGCCCACCAAGGCGACGAUCCGUAGCUGGUCUGAGAGGAUGAUCAGCCACACUGGAACUGAGACACGGUCCAGACUCCUACGGGAGGCAGCAGUGGGGAAUAUUGGACAAUGGGCGCAAGCCUGAUCCAGCCAUACCGCGUGGGUGAAGAAGGCCUUCGGGUUGUAAAGCCCUUUUGUUGGGAAAGAAAAGCAGCAGGUUAAUACCCCGCUGUUAUGACGGUACCCAAAGAAUAAGCACCGGCUAACUUCGUG